rnacentral:rRNA from 1 species
CGGAGGGUGCGAGCGUUGUCCGGAAUCACUGGGCGUAAAGGGCGCGUAGGCGGCCGUGUAAGUCACUUGUGAAAUCCCGGGGCUCAACUCCGGGGCUGCAGGUGAGACUGCAUGGCUAGAGCUCGGUAGAGGCAAGUGGAAUUCCCGGUGUAGCGGUGGAAUGCGUAGAUAUCGGGAAGAACACCGGUGGCGAAGGCGGCUUGCUGGGCCGUAGCUGACGCUGAGGCGCGAAAGCGUGGGGAGCAAACAGGAUUAGAUACCCUGGUAGUCCACGCCGUAAACGAUGGGUACUAGGCGUCGGGGGGAGCGACCCCCUCGGUGCCGUCGCUAACGCAGUAAGUACCCCGCCUGGGGAGUACGGUCGCAAGACUG